UGUCAUGGCGAGUUUAGGAUAUUGGACUCAAGUUUAUAUGUUUUCAAAAUCUGAACUUAAAACUAUCGGUUGUCUUCACUAAUUGUGAGUUGAAACAAAGCUUAUCUUUAAGGUGAGUUAACUGAUAUUCAUGUGCCCUGGUUGCUUGCAACAGUACCUCCU